CUAACUGCACGCGCGGCACGGCGGCGGUGGCAGCGACUAACCGGGCCCAGCUGGAGGUGGCAUGGAACGACGGCGGCGGUCGGGGGAGGCCGGAGGACGGGAGGACCGACAGCGGAGGCUGACAUCAACGACGGCGAGUACGUGUCUCCCUACCUCGCGGGCGUAAGUGCGCGCGUGAAGCAUCCCAGCUGCGGGGUUCGCCCCAGCCGUACAGCCAGCCAGACCCCCGCCGGCUCCGGCGACCAGGCCUCGCGGCAGGCUGCGCCGCCGUCGGAUCCGCAGAUGACGCCACCGAUGGACCGGCAGGCGGUGCCACCGUCGGGCGCGGCGCCGCAGUCCGCGCAGGCGGCGGUGCAGGACGCUGGGCAGCGGGCGGCGCCGGUGCCGGACCCGCUGGGCGCAUCCGCGGCGCCGCCGGCUCAGACAGUGCCUGCGCCGCGGGAGACGGACGCCCCCGGCGCGACUUCGGUCCCGUCCGGAGCGGCGCGGCCGGACGCCGAGCCGCAGCCGCCGACCGCGCACCCGGACAGUGCCGGCGAGCGGCGGCCCGCGUGCGUGGAAGCAUCUCAUUCGGACGACGCGGGUGCCUCCGAGAGGCAGGAGCAGUUCGUGUAGCGUGUUCCGGCCGGCGCGCCCCGACCGCGUAAUCGACUAACUAGCGCGUUACUUUUGUACUUGACCGCCGUUCGUGCUCGCUCUAGUCACUGCGCUCGUGGCGGGGGCGGCGGACGGCUGCGCGUCGACCACCGGCACCGGGCCGGGCAGACGCGCCUGCUGCCGACGCCACGUGGCGCGGAAAACGCGGCCAUCUCGCGGCCGCGACGCUGGAGCGCACCGGUUAGCCGCGGCAGAGAAGGCGCUUCUCUUUAGGCGGCGUCGCUCGCCUUUCAGCGCCGACGAAGUGAAACGUAGGUCUGUACAAAGGCCUUUAUUACGCUGGAGCGGGCGUUACAGUGGUAUGUUUUGUAUUUCUCUGCGAUAUUGCCGGAGCUCAAGCUAAAUUGCACCUCUUUGUGUCUGUUCGACGUUUCUUGUGAUAAUUAUCGUCUGACCGUGUUUUCAUUGUAUAUGUAGAUACGUCUAAACAGCUAACGGAAGGACUAUAUCCGCAUCAAACGCUUUAUGGUGUUCUUGGAGAUCGGUGUAUCGUAAAGUUAAUCAUUGUUCGAAUUUGAAUAAAAUGUUCCAGUUUUA